ensembl:snRNA U6 U6 spliceosomal RNA
GUGCUCACUUUGGCAGCACAUGUAACUAAAAUUGGAACGCUACGGAGAAGAUUAGCAUGGCCCCUACAUUUAAAAAAUAAAUAAAUAAAAAAGAAUUAA